rnacentral:rRNA from 1 species
CCAUACAUGGGCGCAGUCUGAUGCAGCCAUGCCGCGUGAGUGAUGAAGGCCUUCGGGUUGUAAAGCUCUUUUGUUGAGGAAGAACUCGUGCCGGCUAAUACCUGGGUGCCUUGACGGUACCCAAACAAUAAGCACCGGCUAACUUCGUGCCAGCAGCCGCGGUAAUACGAA